rnacentral:rRNA from 1 species
GACGAAGGAUCCAAGCGUUAUCCGGAUUCAUUGGGUUUAAAGGGUGCGUAGGCGGGUUUGUAAGUCAGUGGUGAAAGCCGGUCGCUCAAUGAUCGAACUGCCAUUGAUACUGCAGACCUAGAAUAUAGAUGAUGUUGGCGGAAUAUGACAUGUGGCGGUGAAAUGCAUAGAUAUGCCAUAGAACACCGAUUGCGAAGGCAGCUGACAAAACUAUUAUUGACGCUGAUGCACGAAAGUGCGGGGAUCAAACAGG